UUGUACAUGCAAAUGCAUGAUGGGAAAUUAACGGACAGUCCUGUAAUAUUAUUGUAACUACACCGUAGAAGCAUUUUUUUUACAGCCACCGCAUAGCAUUGUGGGAUCGCUGCUGUUUGAAUUUUGAAAUUACGCGGCCAACGGACGGUACCAGAAGAAUUCUGGAAGAAGGAACAUGAGAGGCACUAGGUGCAGACAAAUGGAUGAUGUCUUUGGAAGGGACAACUGUGAUGGGGCCCCACAACAGCCUUCUGAAUGGAGUGGUAGCGACCUUCGCUGUCUACGUGUUUAACUAACAGUAUCCUAAAGAGGCCUCAAGCACUAAAGAGCUUUUUGUGGAAUCAACUCCAAGAUGUCAGCAAAGCAGAGAAGAGACAUGGGCUCAACGCACUUGUCUGCACCCUAUUAAGAAGACUCCUGGAUUUUGAGUUGAUGGGCUAGUAUUUAUGCCCACCCACACCCCACAGCUUCCUAGACUGGUUGGGACCUUUUGUUAUUUAUUAUCAUGUUCCCCCUGUUGAUAGACUGUCUGGACGUCUGGAAGUGAGCUAGAUUCUUCAGUGAAACUGUAAUUUUGUUUGUAUGGAGAAAAAAAAAGAUAAAAUAAUUUUGUAAUAUGUGAUGUUGCAUAGUGUUAAUAAA